AUAACAGUUAUAAACUAAAAGGGUUUAAUCAUAAUCAAUCCAAAAUCAAAAGGAUAAUUUGAAAACAAAACUAAAAGAGGACUGAAGUGCGAAGUGCACAGAGCGUAGGGACUCGAACUGGAAUUAAUCCAGGCCUUAAAACGCUGCGCACGAGCGCGGACUUGAUUGCAAAAUAGCAUAAAUUAAAGGAAACAAUUAAAAAAAGGAAAAAAAAAAGAUGCAGACGGGCCGAUUUAAACGCGGCGCGAAAGGGGAGGGAUUUAAAGCGAAAUUAACCCUUUACCGCAGCAAACACACGGAUCCUGAGGGUUAGGAGCCGGGUCGGGUCGGCCUCAUUCACACGGCACCGUUUUGGGCCAUUGAAACGGGCUCAAACGGCACCGUUUUGGGUUCUUUAUAAAGACCCCUUUUGGCAUGUUCAACCGAAACCCUAGCUUCUAUUCUUCUUCUCAGCCGAACUCUACCCCUUUAAUGCCAGCGCCGAUCUACCUUCACAUGCAGCAGUCGAUUGGUUCGGACCUUGAAAGGUCACCUAGCAGCCUCGAAGCCCCCUAAAAAAUUCGAUUUCGAUGGAGCAAAAGAAAGCCGAGGACCCAAAGAACAAGGUACGGGGUGGUGUUUGCGUGUGUACGAGAGCGUGGGCGUGGCGCCAGGAGGCUGGGGCGUACGGAGGCAUGGAGCUGCUGUCCGGUUGCUGUUGCAGCGCAGGAGAAAGAGGGUGAUUUAGGGUUUGUCUUGGUUUAAUAUUCUGGGCCUAUUGGGCCUUGUAAAUUUGGGUUUGUAAUAUUUUGGGUUUAAAAUUGGGUUAUGUAACUUGGACUGAUGGACUUUUAUUGGACUGUUAAUAUAUUUUUUUGUUUAUUA